GAAGCUCGGCGGCGUGCCUAAUACAUGCAAGUCGAGCGGAAAUUUUAUUGGUGCUUGCACCUUUAAAAUUUUAGCGGCGGACGGGUGAGUAACACGUGGGUAACCUACCUUAUAGAUUGGGAUAACUCCGGGAAACCGGGGCUAAUACCGAAUAAUACUUUUUAACACAUGUUUGAAAGUUGAAAGACGGUUUCGGCUGUCACUAUAAGAUGGACCCGCGGCGCAUUAGCUAGUUGGUGAGGUAACGGCUCACCAAGGCAACGAUGCGUAGCCGACCUGAGAGGGUGAUCGGCCACACUGGGACUGAGACACGGCCCAGACUCCUACGG
rnacentral:rRNA from 1 species